rnacentral:rRNA from 1 species
UAAGGAAUAUUGGACAAUGGACGCAAGUCUGAUCCAGCCAUGCCGCGUGAAGGAUGAAUGCCCUCUGGGUUGUAAACUUCUUUUAUAGGGGAAGAAAGAUACUUUUUUUAAGGUAGUUGACGGUACCCUAUGAAUAAGCACCGGCUAACUCCGUGCCAGCAGCCGCGGUAAUACGGAGGGUGCAAGCGUUAUCCGGAUUUACUGGGUUUAAAGGGUGCGUAGGCGGGCAUGUAAGUCAGUGGUGAAAUACCGGAGCUUAACUUCGGAACUGCCAUUUAUACUAUAUUUCUUGAAUAUUGUGGAGGUAAGCGGAAUAUGUCAUGUAGCGGCGAAAUGCAUAGAUAUGACAUAGAACACCGAUUGCGGAGGCAGCUUGCUACGCAAAUAUUGACGCUGAGGCA